AUGACCGCUCUCGACUUCAUGCCCGCCGAGAAGGCUCCCCAAGCCGGCACAGUCGCUCUCGGCGCCACCACCAACAAUGCCGUCGCCGUGCAGGUGCAGCAGCAGCAGCACAGGAGGCUGGAGGGGAAGGUGGCCAUCGACGACGCGGUUGGGGAGGCGCUGGCGGCCGCGCUGGGCGGGGCCUGCUGCACCUACGUGCACUGCGACGUGUCGGUUGAGGCCGACGUGGAGCGCGCCGUCGGGUACUGCGUGGCGCGGCACGGGCGGCUGGACGUCCUCUGCAACAACGCCGGCGUGCUGGGCCGGCAGGCGCCCCCGGCGAGCAACGGCGCCAAGAGCAGCGGCAUCGCGUCCCUGGACGCCGCCGAGUUUGACCGCGUGCUGCGCGUGAACACGCUCGGCGCGGCCCUCGGCAUGAAGCACGCGGCGCGGGCCAUGCUUCUGCGCCGCGGCGGCGGGAGCAUCGUGUCCGUGGCGAGCGUGGCGGGCGUGCUCGGCGGGAUGGGCCCCCACGCGUACACGGCGUCGAAGCACGCGCUGGUGGGGCUGACCAAGAACGCGGCCUGCGAGCUCGGGGAGCACGGCAUCCGGGUGAACUGCGUCUCCCCCUUCGGCGUGGCCACGCCAAUGCUGGUGAACGCGUGGCGUCAUGGCGAGGACGAGGAAGGGGGCGCGCUGCCGGCGCCGGUGAGCGCGGAGGAGGUGGAGAAGACGGAGGAGAUGGUGCGGGGCAUGGCGACGCUCAAGGGCCCGACUCUUAGAGCCAGGGACAUCGCAGAGGCGGCACUGUUCCUGGCCAGCGACGAGUCGAGGUACAUCUCCGGGCACAACCUCGUCGUGGACGGCGGCGUCACCACCUCCAGGAACGUCAUCGGGCUGUGA
rnacentral:rRNA from 1 species